GCAAUAUAUAUAUACUCUGAAAAGAAUGGUAUAUAUUGAUAUACAUCAAUACAUACACAAAUUGAACUAAUAAUUGUAUAUAUAUCACUGAUAAUAAGUAUAUACAUGGGCUUAUAAAUUAGUGCAUAUAUAAACUCAUUAUACGUAAGCAUACGAGUGUGAGAGUAUAUACAUAUCAGUGUACAUAAACACCAAUAACUGUAUAAACUGAUAAGAAGUGUCCAUAUAGUCAUAUAUAUCAGUGUAUAUAGAAAUGUAUAUGCAUUAUCAAUGCGUAAGGGUGCAUGUGCGUGCGGAUAUCAGUAUACAUAUAACUCAUAGGAAGUUUAUAGAUACACGCAUAAACAUAUCAGUAUAUACAUGUCGUAAAUAUGCACACUGUAUAUAUAUGUAAAGUGCUAAUAAGUGUCGAUAUGGUUAUAAAUAUCAGUGUAUAUAAUAUGCAUGUAUUAGUGUAAAUAUACACAGUAUAUAUGUACUUAUCAACACGUAAGGGUGCAUGUGCAUACACGUAUCAAUGUAUACAUACAUUGACAAUUGUAUAUAACUGGUAGCAAGCAAUUGUAUACAUACAUGCAUAAAUAUAUCAUCGUAUAUACGCACAUCAGUCCAUACACAACACUCAUAUAAGUGUAUUAUAUAUCUGAGCGUGAGUGUGAGUGUGAGUGCGUGUUAAUAUGUGUGAUUGUGUGGGUGUGAGAGUGUGUGUGUGAGUGCGAGUGUGUGAGUGUGAGCACGAGCGUGAGUGUGUGAGCGUGAGCGUGUGUGUGUGUAUGUGUGUGUGUGUGUGUGUGUGUGUGUGUGUGUGUGUAUGUGGUGUGUGUACGUGUGUUAAGAAAAAGUUACUUAAUGAAAUUGAAAACCACAAGUAGUACUCCAGAAAAUUCAUUCCAUAUUUGCAUGAAAGAAGCAAGAGUGUGUGUGUGUUAAGAAAAAGUUACUUAAAAAAUUACAAACCACAAGUAAAGUUUCAGGAAAUUCACUUCAUUUUUGCAUGAAAGAAGUAAGAGAAGUAUCAUACUAGAGAAGAAAGAACCAUUAAUCAAAUCAAGCUUGCAAGAUCAAGAUCUCAAAUAUCGAAUAACGUAAAGAGAUCCACCCCGAUGAUAAGUUGCUUUCAUGCUUGUUGCUUUACAAGCAAACUCGAUGAAGAUGAAGCCCAUCAAUAAUAAUAGAAACAAGUACAAAUCAGACAAAAAAUUUUAGAUGGACUAUCACAAUCGGGUAUUUAGCAUACCCAAUUCAUCAAGAGAAGAAACCCAGUUUUAUGCCUAAUUCUAUACAAAGCAAUAUCAAAUUUCGCCUAGGCUUAUCUGAUUAGAGGUGAUAGCCAGAAGAAAUAAUCUCCUUCUUGAAGGCCCGAAUUUAUCACAGUUUGGAAAAUUGUAUACGAAAAAAUCAUUCACAUAGAAGAUAAUGAUUCGAAUGGAAAGAAUUGAGAGGAAAAUAAUAAAAAAAGAAGGGGGGGGAUAUGUUCAACCUUAUUGACUGCAACAGCCACCUGUGCAUUCAUAUACAUAUCAAUGUACAUCUACGCUAAUAACAAUAGAAACUGUUAAAAAGUGUAUAUAUGGUCUAUAUCAACGUACAUAAAAAAGUAUAUAUGCGCACUUAAUGCGUAAGGGUGCAUGUGCGUGCGCAUAUCAGUGUAUAUAUAACUGAUAGCAAGUUUAUACAUACAUGCAUAAACAUAUCAGUAUAUACAUAUCAUAUAUAUACACACUGUAUAUAUAUAUAUAUAUAUAAACUGUUAAUAUAUGUCUCAGUGUAUAUAGAAUGCAUGUAUAAGUGUAUGCAUAUACAUUAUAUAUGCACUUAUCAACGCGUAAGGGUGCACGUGUGUGCAUAUAUCAGUACAUAUAUAUUGAUAAUUGUAUACAACUGAUAGCAAGCAACUGUAUACAUACACGCAUAAACAUAUCAAUAUAUACAUAUCGUAUAUAUACACACAAUAGUCCAUACACAGCAUGCAUAUAUGUGUAGUAUAAAUAUCUAUGAGUGUGAAUGUCAGUGUGUGUGUGUGUAAGUGCGAGUGUAUGUGAGUGAGUGCGAGUGUGAGUGUGCGUGUGAAUGUGAGUGUGAAUGUGAGUGUGAGUGUGAGUGUGAGUGUGAGUGUGAGUGUGGGCGUAGGCGUGGGCGUGGGCGUGGGCGUGGGCGUGGGCGUGGGCGUGGGCAUGAGUAUGUGUGUGAGUGAGUGUGAGUGUGAGUGUGAGUGUGAGUGUGAGUGUGUGCAGUAUAGAAAUCAGUGUAUAUAUAUGUUACUAACUGUAUAAACUGAUAAUAUACAUCAAUAUAUAUAGAAAUGUACAUAUUAUGGUCAUAUAAUGCACUGUAUAUAUACAGUUAUGCCUUUUACACAAACACACAUAUCAGUAUAUAUACAUACACACACACACAUGUCAAUGUAUUUUGUACACACUAAUAAGUAUAUAUAGAGCUGAUAACUAAUGUUUUGUAUGGUUAUAUGCAUUAGUAUAUAAAAAUACACUGAAUUGUUAUACAUCAAUACGUACAGAAAUUGAACUAAUAACUGUAUAUAUCACUGAUAAACCCAUUAUACAUAUGCAUAUGAGUGUACGUAUAUACAUAUCAGUGUACAUAUGCAGUAGUAACUGUAUAAACCGAUAAUAAUUGUCUAUAUGAUCAUAAAUAUCAGUGUAUAAAGAAAUGUAUGUAUGCACUAUCAAUUCGUAAGAGUGCAUGUGCGUACGCAUAUCAGUAUAUAUAACUAAUAGCAAGUUUAUAUAUACGUGUGUAAACAAAUCAGCAUAUACAUAUCGUAUAUAUGCACACUAUAUAUAUAAAUAUAUAUAUAUAUGUAUAUAUAUAUAUAUAUAAACUGCUAAUGAAUGUCUAUAUGGUCAUAUAUAUCAGUGCAUAUAGAAUGCAUGUAUUGGUACAUACAUACACAGUAUAUACACUGAUAAUUGUUUAUAACUGAUAGCAAGCAACUGUAUACAUACAUGCACAAACAUAUCAGUAUAUACAUAUCGUAUAUAUAUACACAUCAGCCAAUUCACAACACGCAUAUAUGUGUAUUAUAAAUAUCUGUGAGUGUGAGUGUGAGUGUGAGCGUGAGCGUGUGAGCGUGAGUGUGUGUGUGUGUGCGUGUGAGUGUGAGUGUGAUUGUGAAUGUGAAUGUGAGUGUGAGUGUGAGUGUGUGUGAGUGUGAGUGUGAGUGUGAGUGUGAGUGUGAGUGUGAAUGUGAGUGUGAGUGUGACUGAGUGAGUGAGUGUCUGUCAGUGUGUGAGUGAGUGUGAGUGUGAGUGCGAGUGUGAGUGUCAGUGUGAGUAUGAGUGCGAGUGUGAGUGUGUGAGUGUAUGUGAGUGCGAGUGUGAGAGCGAGUAAGAGUGAGUGUGAGUGUGAGUGUGAAUGUGAAUGUGAGUAUGAGUGUGUAUGUGUGUGAAUGUGAGUGUGUGUGCAUGUGUAUGGGUGUGUGUGUGUGUGUGUGCGUGCAUGUGUAUGACUGUGAGUGUGAGUGUGAGUGUGAGUGUGAGUGUGAAAGUGAAAGUGAGAGUGAGAGUGAGAGUGUGAGUGUGAGUGUGAGUGUGAGUGUGAGUGUGAGUGUGAGAGUGUGAGUGUGAGUGUGAGUGUGAGUGUGAGUGUGUGUGUGUGUGUCUGCGUGUGUGUGAGUGUGAGUGUGAGUGUGAGUGUGAGUGUGAGUGUGAGUGUGAGUGUGAGUGUGGUGUGGGUGUGAGUGUGGUGUGGUGUGAGUGUGAGUGUGAGUGUGAGUGUGAGUGUGAGUGUGAGUGUGAGUGUGAGUGUGAGUGUGAGUGUGUGCGUGUGUGCGUGUGGAGUAUGGUGUGUGUGUGUGUUAAGAAAAAGUUCUUAAAAAAAUUGCAAACCACAAGUAAAGCUCCAGAAAAUUCACUCCAUAUUUGCAUGAAAGAAGCAAGAGUGUGUGUGUGUUAAGAAAAAGUUACUUAAUAAAAAUUGCAAACCACAAGUAAAGCUCCAGAAAAUUCACUCCAUAUUUGCAUGAAAGAAGAAAGAGCAGUACUAUACUAGAGAAGAAAGAACCAUUAACCAAAUCAAGCUUGCAAGAUCAAGAUCUCAAAUAUCGAAUAACGUAAAGAGAUCCACCUCGAUUAAGUUGCUUUCAUGCUUGUUGACUUAAAAGCAAACUCGAUGAAGAUGAAGCUCAUCAAAAAUAAUAAAAACAAGUACAAAUAAGAUAAAAAAUUUUGAUGAACUAUCACAAUUGGGUAUUUAGCAUAUCCUUCAUCAAGAGAAGAAAGUCAUUCUUAUGCCUAAUUCUAUACAAAGUAAUAUGGAAUUUCGUCUAGGCUUAUCUUAUUAGAGUGAUAGCCAGAAGAAAUAAUCUCCUUCUUUAAUGCCUGAUUUUAUUACUGUAUGGAAAUUUGUAUAUAGAAGGAAAAAUCAUUCACAGGGAAGUUAAUGAUUCGAAUGGUAAGAAUUGAGAGGAAAAUAAUCAAAAGGUUGGGGGGGACAUCUGUUCAUUUACCUUAUUGGCUGCAACAGCCACCUGUGCAUUGGCUAGUGAGGGGAAAAUAAUAAAAAAGGAGCGGGGGGGGGAAUCUGUUCAUUUACCUUAUUGGCUGUAACAGCCACCUAUGCAUUGGCCAAAAGCUCCAAAACUCUUGAAAACCAAAAGAGAAAUGCAAUUUGAGCUUUCAAGAGAGAGAGAGAGAGCUCCAAAACUCUUGAAAACCAAAAGAGAAAUGCAAUUUGAGAUUUCGAGAGAGAGGGAGAGAGAGAGAAUCCAAUUCUUAAGGAAAGGGGGAAGAGAGAAGUGAUUCUACAAGAAAUAAAUACGAAUGGGUUCUUAAGUGACCUUGUAACUGGCCAGUAGAUCAGAGGGAGAGGUUUCUUGUCAUAAAAUAAUUCUAGUCAAAAACAGGAAUUGGAGUGUUAAAAAAGCUUCAUGAGAAAGAGAUAGGGAAUGCAAAAACUAGGCCGAAACAAAAGAACAAUUGGCUGUGGAAGAACCCUUGAGACCACAAAAUAAAAAAAACUGACCCAGUGAAAUCCUAAAACUAAAUCUGGAAGUCUUUCUCCAGAGCACAACCAGAUUAAGAAAAAGGGCAUCUAAGAAUAGUGGUUGUGAGCUCAAAAAUAUGAAAAACACUUAAACCCAUUUUAGGUUAGAACAAGUUUUAGAAGAAGAAAGUAACCCUUACGUACAGAAUAAAAAAUAAAUCCUAAUAGUCAUGCCUCUGUUACUAGGGCCAUGGAACAUAGAUUCUUUAAAAAUAUGGAAAAACAAAGAAUAAAUGGCCAUGGAAGAAAUCGUGAGGCCACAAAAUAAAACAACUGAGCCAAUGAAAACCUAAAACUGAUUAAGGAAAUUUUCCUGAAAAUACAUCAGACAGAGAAGAAAAUAACACUAACUAUUCUAAGAUUUCUAACAGAAUAUUUUAAAAGAAACUGAUUAUGAAUCAAUUUUGUGAAAAUUUCACAGAAUCAAUUGCAAACCUCUGAGUCAAAAACUCAAAUUUCAGAGAAUUCACACUACAAUAUAAAAUUUCCUGUGAGUCAAAAAAAUUUCCUUCCUGAUGAAAAAAACAAACUAGAUUCUACACGAGCAAGCAGCUAAUAUUUCAAUGAAUUCACCAUAAAAUAAAGGAACCAUAAAAC
rnacentral:lncRNA from 1 species